UAGCCGUAAACGAUACUCGCUAGGUGUCGGCCACGGUGCGACCGUUGUCGGUGCCGUAGGGAAGCCGUGAAGCGAGCCACCUGGGAAGUACGGCCGCAAGGCUGAAACUUAGAGGAAUUGGCGGGGGAGCACAACAACGGGUGGAGCUUGCGGUUUAAUUUGGAUUCAACGCCGGAAAUCUUACCGGGACCGACAGCAACAUGAAGGCCAAGCUGAAGACUUUGCCGGAUUAGCUGAGAGGAGGUGCAUGGCGUAGU
rnacentral:rRNA from 1 species